UACGAAGGGGGCUAGCGUUGCUCGGAAUUACUGGGCGUAAAGGGCGCGUAGGCGGAUGUUUAAGUCAGCGGUGAAAGCCCAGGGCUCAACCUUGGAACUGCCAUUGAUACUGGACAUCUUGAGUACGGGAGAGGUGAGUGGAACACCGAGUGUAGAGGUGAAAUUCGUAGAUAUUCGGUAGAACACCAGUGGCGAAGGCGACUCACUGGCCCGUUACGGACGCUGAGGCGCGAAAGCGUGGGGAGCAAACAGG
rnacentral:rRNA from 1 species